GAUGAACGCUGGCGGCGUGCCUAAUACAUGCAAGUCGAGCGAACAGACGAGGAGCUUGCUCCUCUGACGUUAGCGGCGGACGGGUGAGUAACACGUGGAUAACCUACCUAUAAGACUGGGAUAACAUCGGGAAACCGGAGCUAAUACCGGAUAAUAUAUUGAACCGCAUGGUUCAAUAGUGAAAGACGGUUUUGCUGUCACUUAUAGAUGGAUCCGCGCCGCAUUAGCUAGUUGGUAAGGUAACGGCUUACCAAGGCGACGAUGCGUAGCCGACCUGAGAGGGUGAUCGGCCACACUGGAACUGAGACACGGUCCAGACUCCUACGGGAGGCAGCAGUAGGGAAUCUUCCGCAAUGGGCGAAAGCCUGGCGGAGCAACGCCGCGUGAGUGAUGAAGGUCUUCGGAUCGUAAAACUCUGUUAUUAGGGAAGAACAAAUGUGUAAGUAACUAUGCACGUCUUGACGGUACCUAAUCAGAAAGCCACGGCUAACUACGUG
rnacentral:rRNA from 1 species